rnacentral:rRNA from 1 species
CCGGCAAACGGGUGCGGAACACGUACACAACCUUCCUAUAAGUGGGGAAUAGCCCAGAGAAAUUUGGAUUAAUACCCCGUAACAUAACGAUGUGGCAUCACAUUGUUAUUAUAGCUUCGGCGCUUAUUGAUGGGUGUGCGGCUGAUUAGAUAGUUGGCGGGGUAACGGCCCACCAAGUCUACGAUCAGUAGCUGAUGUGAGAGCAUGAUCAGCCACACGGGCACUGAGACACGGGCCCGACUCCUACGGGAGGCAGCAGUAAGGAAUAUUGGUCAAUGGACGCAAGUCUGAACCAGCCAUGCCGCGUGAAGGAUUAAGGUCCUCUGGAUUGUAAACUUCUUUUAUCUGGGACGAAAAAAGGCUUUUCUAAGUCACUUGACGGUACCAGAUGAAUAAGCACCGGCUAACUCCGUGCCAGCAGCCGCGGUAAUACGGAGGGUGCAAGCGUUAUCCGGAUUCACUGGGUUUAAAGGGUGCGUAGGCGGGCAGGUAAGUCAGUGGUGAAAUCCUGGAGCUUAACUCCAGAACUGCCAUUGAUACUAUCUGUCUUGAAUAUUGUGGAGGUAAGCGGAAUAUGUCAUGUAGCGGUGAAAUGCUUAGAUAUGACAUAGAACACCUAUUGCGAAGGCAGCUUACUACGCAUAUAUUGACGCUGAGGCACGAAAGCGUGGGGAUCAAACAGGAUUAGAUACCCUGGUAGUCC